AAUCACAGUAGUCGGGACUAUAAAUACACUGGCGUGGUGUUACGCUACAUACUGAGCUGAGCUGCUGAGGUCAAUUUGCCAUCCCUUCCUCACCUACAAGCAGCGAGACGUUCCUGCUGCUGCCUUCUUUGGGGAUUGAGGAUGCCUCUGGAUGAUGGCGAUUGUUCUGUCGAGAAAUGGAGUGCGGAGCGCCUCGGGAAAUGACAAGGAAUUCUUCUUAACACCAGCGGACUAUUUCAUGACAAGUUGACCAACAUCUGACACAUCUGACGGAUAACGCGCUGCACUUCGCUUGUCCGAUGGAGAUUUCCCUCAGGAGCCACACAUCGGGCCCUAACCGCCCGUAAUGGCAUCUUCCCACCGCGCGCGUUUUCGCCUCUCGAACGAUAAUCGCUGAUUUGUCUGCGACCGAGCGCAGGCGCUGCUGGCGAUUAUCCUCAACCGCCGCGUGGAGGACAUCUUGAGAUGGAUUGAUGUUUCUCGGGAAGAUGAAGCUGUCACUGGGUCCAGGCGGAGGAAAAUCUGCUGCAGUAAAGCCAGUGGAAAGAGUUUGGUGCCCCACUUCAGUACGGCGCUUCUUGUGUUCGGACCAAAGUAAAAAAACGAAAUAAAAACCAAAUAUAUACAUAUAUAUAUAUAUAUAUAGGCGCACUGGGGGAAUUCUCGGGCUGGUACUCGGCAAAAUCCGACUUGGGAAUCCGCCCGAAUGAGCCUCAAUCGGAAGCGGCCAUCUUCGGCAGAUGAGCGAUGAUCAAUUGGGAAAAGGCGGUGCAAGGACUUGUUCGUAACCUACUGGCUGAAUCCAGACCGAAACUCCAGGGGGCGCUACUGUGUAUUUGUAUUGUUUCUCAUGCUGCUGUAUGAUGUUUGCUUCCCCUUUGGGUGGGGGUCAUAUUGGGAGCCUUGAAAUGCGUCGACAUUCACUGGAAUGCAUUUGUGCUGAAAGAGAGGGCCCAGACCGCCUUGAUAGUCUCCUGAGUGGAACUGCGAUGAAGCAAAAUAUACCCUCGCUUGUGUCGUGUCACACUUGUCGUGUGGGAGGGCGGGCACGCCAGACCCCCGAAUAUUUGUGGAGUGGGCAGGCUGUUCAAAAAGUCGUUUGUGGUUCGCUCUUUCCCUUUUGGCACCUCAAUAAAAAGAACAAUUCUCGA